AAUGCAUUCCAUUUAGGGCUGUUCACAUUUUGGAUGGAUCCCUCAACCGAUUCAAUCCAAAAUUAAACCGACUUUCCGUUUAAAUUACAAGAUCAGGUCGAAAUGGUUGAUUUGCUUUAAGUCUCUUCGGACUGAGACGCCCUAAUUUUUAUCAUCUAAUCUUAUCCUGAUUGUUAAUCUUUUGGGGAUAGUUUGAGCUGUUAUGAUCUGCUUCUUGAAUUGUUUUCUCCUUUCUGUACUGAUGGUAGAAAGAGAAAUCAUUUUCACUUAGGAAUUUGGCUCUUUUCAUCAGACUCACCUGAAUUCUGCUUUUUAGAAAAUACCCGGAAAUUGUAUCCAGUUAAAUUUACUUUGACACUGUUUUUUCUUGGGCUUUUACGAGACAGCUUCUUGUGGUUUCCUUUCUUAGGUAAGAACUAUGUCAUCUAUGGUUCCUCUUCCUCUUUCAUUCCUAAUCUUCUAUCCUGGUUCCUCUUGGCUAUAUUACCGUCAAUAGUUACUAUGAGGUUUCAUAUUGGUAUUCCACAGGUUCAGAUAAUACCAAAGCUUUCGACAUUAUUUAACAAACUAGAGGAAAUUGGAGCAUCUUUAUGCUAGUUAUGUUUGAAUGGGGAAGAGGGGAGUUUGGAUUAA
rnacentral:misc_RNA from 1 species